rnacentral:rRNA from 1 species
GGGUUGUGAGGUUAAGCGACUAAGCGUACACGGUGGAUGCCUAGGCAAUCAGAGGCGAUGAAGGACGUGCUAAUCUGCGAAAAGCGUCGGUAAGGUGAUAUGAACCGUUAUAACCGACGAUGUCCGAAUGGGGAAACCCAGUGCAAUUCGUUGCACUAUCGUUUGAUGAAUCCAUAGUCAAACGAGGCGAACCGGGGGAACUGAAACAUCUCAGUACCCUGAGGAAAAGAAAUCAACCGAGAUUCCCCUAGUAGCGGCGAGCGAACGGGGAGCAGCCCAGAGUCUUAAUCAGCAUCAGCAUCAGGAGAACGGUCUGGAAAGGCCGGCAAUAAAGGGUGAUAGCCCCGUAUCCGAAGGUGUUGGUGUUGUGAACUCGACGAGUAGGGCGGGACACGUGUUAUCCUGUCUGAAUAUGGGGGGACCAUCCUCCAAGGCUAAAUACUCCUGAUUGACCGAUAGUGAACCAGUACCGUGAGGGAAAGGCGAAAAGAACCCCGGCGAGGGGAGUGAAAUAGAACCUGAAACCGUGUACGUACAAGCAGUGGGAGCCUUGAUUUAUCAGGGUGACUGCGUACCUUUUGUAUAAUGGGUCAGCGACUUAUAUUCUGUAGCAAGGUUAACCGAAUAGGGGAGCCGUAGGGAAACCGAGUCUUAACUGGGCGAAUGAGUUGCAGGGUAUAGACCCGAAACCCGGUGAUCUAGCCAUGGGCAGGUUGAAGGUUGGGUAACACUAACUGGAGGACCGAACCGACUAAUGUUGAAAAAUUAGCGGAUGACUUGUGGCUGGGGGUGAAAGGCCAAUCAAACCGGGAGAUAGCUGGUUCUCCCCGAAAGCUAUUUAGGUAGCGCCUCGUGAACUCAUCUUCGGGGGUAGAGCACUGUUUCGGCUAGGGGGUCAUCCCGACUUACCAACCCGAUGCAAACUACGAAUACCGAAGAAUGUUAUCACGGGAGACACACGGCGGGUGCUAACGUUCGUCGUGAAGAGGGAAACAACCCAGACCGCCAGCUAAGGUCCCAAAGUCAUGGUUAAGUGGGAAACGAAGUGGGAAGGCUCAGACAGCCAGGAUGUUGGCUUAGAAGCAGCCAUCAUUUAAAGAAAGCGUAAUAGCUCACUGGUCGAGUCGGCCUGCGCGGAAGAUGUAACGGGGCUAAACCAUGCACCGAAGCUGCGGCAGCGACAUGUAAAUGUUGUUGGGUAGGGGAGCGUUCUGUAAGCCUGUGAAGGUGUGCUGCGAGGCAUGCUGGAGGUAUCAGAAGUGCGAAUGCUGACAUAAGUAACGAUAAUGCGGGUGAAAAACCCGCACGCCGGAAGACCAAGGGUUCCUGUCCAACGUUAAUCGGGGCAGGGUGAGUCGACCCCUAAGGCGAGGCAGAAAUGCGUAGUCGAUGGGAAACAGGUUAAUAUUCCUGUACUGGUGAUAAUUGCGAUGGGGGGACGGAGAAGGCUAGGCUGGCCGGGCGACGGUUGUCCCGGUUUAAGGAUGUAGGUGGGUGAAUUAGGCAAAUCCGGUUCGCUAUACACUGAGGUCUGAUGACGAGUCACUACGGUGGCGAAGUAGCUCAUGCCCCGCUUCCAGGAAAAGCCUCUAAGCUCUAGAUUAUCAUUAAUCGUACCCCAAACCGACACAGGUGGUCAGGUAGAGAAUACUCAGGCGCUUGAGAGAACUCGGGUGAAGGAACUAGGCAAAAUGGUGCCGUAACUUCGGGAGAAGGCACGCUGGCACUAGGUGAAGUGGUUUACCCAUGGAGCUGAAGCCAGUCGCAGAUACCAGCUGGCUGCAACUGUUUAUUAAAAACACAGCACUGUGCAAACACGAAAGUGGACGUAUACGGUGUGACGCCUGCCCGGUGCUGGAAGGUUAAUUGAUGGGGUUAUCCGUAAGGAGAAGCUCUUGAUCGAAGCCCCAGUAAACGGCGGCCGUAACUAUAACGGUCCUAAGGUAGCGAAAUUCCUUGUCGGGUAAGUUCCGACCUGCACGAAUGGCGUAAUGAUGGCCAGGCUGUCUCCACCCGAGACUCAGUGAAAUUGAACUCGCUGUGAAGAUGCAGUGUACCCGCGGCAAGACGGAAAGACCCCGUGAACCUUUACUAUAGCUUGACACUGAACAUUGAGCCUUGAUGUGUAGGAUAGGUGGGAGGCUUUGAAGUGUGGACGCCAGUCUGCAUGGAGCCAACCUUGAAAUACCACCCUUUAAUGUUUGAUGUUCUAACGUUGCCCCAUAAUCUGGGGUGCGGACAGUGUCUGGUGGGUAGUUUGACUGGGGCGGUCUCCUCCCAAAGCGUAACGGAGGAGCACGAAGGUUGGCUAAGCAUGGUCGGACAUCAUGCGGUUAGUGCAAAGGCAUAAGCCAGCUUGACUGCGAGAGUGACGGCUCGAGCAGGUACGAAAGUAGGUCUUAGUGAUCCGGUGGUUCUGAAUGGAAGGGCCAUCGCUCAACGGAUAAAAGGUACUCCGGGGAUAACAGGCUGAUACCGCCCAAGAGUUCAUAUCGACGGCGGUGUUUGGCACCUCGAUGUCGGCUCAUCACAUCCUGGGGCUGAAGUAGGUCCCAAGGGUAUGGCUGUUCGCCAUUUAAAGUGGUACGCGAGCUGGGUUUAGAACGUCGUGAGACAGUUCGGUCCCUAUCUGCCGUGGGCGUUGGAAGAUUGAAAGGGGCUGCUCCUAGUACGAGAGGACCGGAGUGGACGCACCGCUGGUGUUCGGGUUGUCAUGCCAAUGGCACUGCCCGGUAGCUAAGUGCGGAAGAGAUAACCGCUGAAAGCAUCUAAGCGGGAAACUUGCCUUGAGAUGAGUCUUCCCUGACUCUUUAAGGGUCCUAAAGGAACGUUUAAGACGAAGACGUUGAUAGGCUGGGUGUGUAAGCGUAGCGAUACGUUGAGCUAACCAGUACUAAUGAACCGUGAGGCUUAACCUGACAACACCGAAGGUGUUUUAG